rnacentral:SRP_RNA from 1 species
GCCAAGCGUGGUAGUAUGCGCAUCUUUAGUCCCAGCUACUCUGGAGGUUGAGGUGGAUUGCAUAAUCCCAGGAGUUCUGGACUGUUGUGCGCUGUGCUGGUCAUGUGUCUGCACUAAGUUCGGCAUCAAUAUGGUGACCUCUUGGGAGCAAGGAGCCAACAGUUUGCUUAAGAAGGGGCAAACUGGCACAGAUGUUACGGGCCAAAACUCUGGUGCUCGUUAGUAGUGGGAUCAUGCCUGUGAAUAAUCACUGCACUUUAGCAUAAUCAGUAUAGCAAGACCCUGUCUCU